GAAACACUGUGUGGUGGAGAAACUAUCUGUCCAGAAUGAAGCUGAUGAUGGUGGUGAUACCUUGGUGAAGCAAGAGACUGAUCUACUAGCAUUCUGCAGAUUUACUAAGUUCCCCACCAAAACUCGCUCUGCAUUGGCAUACAAGGCUUCUAAAGCAGAUCCUAUUACAACUGUGUCAGAACGGCCUUCUGUUAUCAACACUAACAGAG
rnacentral:misc_RNA from 1 species